rnacentral:pre_miRNA from 1 species
AAGUCUGCUUAGAUCAGAUUCUCAUAUGGUAAUGUCAGAUCUUCACUCGAAUACUUAGAACCUUUGAUUUCAACAAGCUCGGUUGCAUCAUAUGGUUCUUUAAUAUGGUAUUAGAGCUUUGAUAAUCA